AGAGCACUGACGUCCGUAUUAUUGGACAGCUUUUAUUUUGAAGGUGGCGUUCGCCGCAAGUUGGCGACCUAUUUUGCGACACGCUUACAAAGCACAGUUUAAACUGCAAGCUAUCAGUUACGCAUAGGAACAUGUGAAUCGAGCAGCCGCGAGAGAAUUCAAGAUCAACGAAUCCAUGGUUCGCAAGUGGAGGAAGCAGGAAAACGAGCUUCGCCAAGUCAAGAAGACGAAGCUGAUUUUCCGCGGAAACAAGGCGGGGUGCCCCGAGUUGGAAGCCCAACUCGAGCAAUGGAUUCAUGAGCAAAGAACAGCCGGGAGAAGAGUCUCUACAGUCACCAUUCGACUGAGGGAAAUAACUCGGGCGUUCAAAGUAAAGUUGCGAGCGGUAUGGGAGCCAUGGAUGACAGAUGGCGAACACAGCUGUACUAAGACUAGGAGGCAGCGCCGGGCGAGUUACGCCACAAUUUGUGAAUGGAUUGUGGAUGCUUGGGCUAACGUGUCUACUUGCACUGUUGUUCGAGCUUUCGUAAAAGCCGGCAUCAUUUCUGAGGAGCCGCACAGCAACGAGACUGACUCCGAUAAUGACAAGAGGGAACCUGGCGUGUUUGAUGGAGCUGUUCAUUUCGGAUACAGAAGAUGAUUGAUUUGUGGAUGAGGAUUGAUCAAAAAAUAACAAACGCCAGGAAGCAGGUUUUAAGGAGAGGGUGGAGUACUGAAGGAGAACAGGGUAACAUAACAAAAAGUUUAAAAUUUGGAUGAAGGAUUCUUCAACUUUCCCAGUCUUUUGUCCUCCCUGUCCCAGCUUGUUUGGAAUGUGUUGCAGGCAUCAAAUUCUAAAUGAGUGGCAGCGUCUCGCCUGCCAUCUACCAGUGGAUUCACAGCUUCCUGAAGGGCAGGACACAGCAAGUGAGGCUGGGGGCCACCACCUCAUUCACACGCACCAUCAGCACCUGGGCACCCCAAGAUGUGUCCUCUCUCCGCUGCUCUUCUCAGAAUCAGAAUCAGAAUCAUCUUUAUUUGCCAAGUAUGUCCAAAACACACAAGGAAUUUGUCUCUCUACACGAACGACUCCACCUCAACGCACCCGGCUGUCAAACUCAUGAAGUUUGCAGAUGACACCACAGUCAUCGGCCUCAUCAAAGAUGGUGACGAGUCUGCAUAUCGACAGGAAGUGGAGCGGCUGGAGCUUUGGUGCGGCCGACACAACCAGGAGCUGAACACGGUCAAGACUGUAGAGAUGAUCAUGGACUUCAGGAAGCAUCCUUCGCCACAGCUGCCCCUCACGCUCUCCAACUGCCCUGUGUCAAAUGUCGAGACCUUCAAGUUCCUGGGAAUUACAGUCUCUCAGGACCUGAAGACCAACAUCAACUCCAUUCUCAAAAAGGCCCAGCAGAUGAUGUACUUCCUGCGGCUUUUGAGCAAGCACAGCCUGCCACAGGAGCUGUUGAAGCAGUUCUACACAGCAGUCAUCGAAUUAGCCCUGUGUUCAUCCAUCACAGUCUGGUUUGGUGGUGCCACAAAAAAGGACAAACUGUGACUGCAACGGACAAUCAGGACUGACGGAAAAAUUGUCGGUACACCCCUGAGGACUUGCACGCUGCCAGAACUAAGACAAGAGCAUGCAAAAUCCUCUUGAACCCUCCGCAUCCUGGUCACCACCUCUUCCAGCUUCUUCCCUCAGGUGGGCGCUUUUGAUCAAUGCAAACUAAAACAAGCUUCUUCAACAGCUUCUUCCCUCUUACCAUUAAAUUGCUGAAGGCCUCUGCAACAUUUGCACAACUGUAAUUGUAUCAGGAUUAUCACAUUACCGGUAACCUUUCAUUGCUCUGUAGUGGGUUUUUAUGUCUCAAAAGUAUUUUUUGUCUAAAUGGCUGUCUAUUGUCAUACUAAAGUGGCUCAAACUACCAGAGACAAAUUCCUUGUGUGUUUUUAACAUACUUGGCAAAUAAAGAGGAUUCUGAUUCUGAUUUGCAAAAAGAAAAUCAGGUAUAUCAGUUUGAACAUUAAAUGUCUUUGUAGUGUAUUCACUUACAGUAAAAACAGGUUGAAAAGGAUUUGCAAACCAUGGUAUUCUGUUUUAGACAAUGUCCCAACUUCAUUGGAAUUGGGGUUUGUACUACCUUUAUUGGAUUUGUGUAGUUUCCACUGCAAGCAUUGUGGCUAGUGUUAACAGGUAACAUUUACUCAUUUAUGUGGUUAUAAGUGUCACAUUAGGAUCUCUGGAUGGCCUUUCGUUAAUACCCAUGGAUUCUAAUACCUUCAUCAAAUGAUUGCAUUAGCACUGUAUCGUAUGUAUUAGAAAGUUCCAUAAUUCUUCAGGAUUUUGCGCUUUUAACCUCUGCACUGUUGGGGCUCAUGUGUUGACUGUGUCAUUCUGAGCUGCAGCUGCAUCUAUUUUGCCUACUCCCCAUAGACAGGGCAGAUCUCUGCCCUAGAUCAUGCACAUCUCUGUUUCACACACAGUGAUUACUUAAGAUUUUGACACAACCGUGUUUGUGUGUACAAGAGGAUUACAAAACAAAAUCAGCGGGGAGAGCAUUUUCUAUGCAUAAGCUGACGAGCCACCUGUUGGCUGAUGACGCACUUGAGGGGACAUUUCGUCUGCAAAUAAAG